GGGGCUAUAGCUCAAAAGGAAGAGCACUUGUAUGGCAUACAAGAGGCAGGCGGUUCGAUCCCGCUUAGCUCCACCA
rnacentral:tRNA from 1 species